rfam:Picoides pubescens contig60806, whole genome shotgun sequence.
CUUCGGUGAUGAUAAGAUGACGAGUCAGAAAUGGAUGCCUCUUGUUGCAGCACCUCUGCAGUGCCAUGUUCUGUGGUGCUGUGUGUGGUUCUGCAGCAGGAGCACCCUCUCACCAUUGAAUGAUUCUGAGGCAUUUGUCUGAGAAGG